rnacentral:misc_RNA from 1 species
GAUGAAGAACGUAGCGAAAUGCGAUACGUAAUGUGAAUUGCAGAAUUCAGUGAAUCAUCGAAUCUUUGAACGCACAUUGCGCCCUCUGGUAUUCCGGAGGGCAUGCCUGUUCGAGCGUCAUUUCAACCCUCAAGCAUUGCUUGGUGUUGGGGCACCGCCUGUAAAAGGGCGGGCCCUGAAAUCUAGUGGCGAGCUCGCCAGGACCCCGAGCGUAGUAAUUAUAUUUCGUUCUGGAAGGCCCUGGCGGUGCCCUGCCGUUAAACCCCCAACUUCUGAAAAUUUGACCUCGGAUCAGGUAGGAAUACCCGCUGAACUUAAGCAUAUCAAUAAGCGGAGGA